AUACGUAGGUGGCGAGCGUUGUCCGGAAUUACUGGGCGUAAAGGGUGCGUAGGCGGGGUUUUAAGUCAGAUGUGAAAUUCCGGAGCUUAACUUCGGAACUGCAUUUGAAACUGGGACUCUGGAGUGCAGGAGAGGAAAGCGGAAUUCCUAGUGUAGCGGUGAAAUGCGUAGAUAUUAGGAAGAACACCAGUGGCGAAGGCGGCUUUCUGGACUGUAACUGACGCUGAGGCACGAAAGCGUGGGGAGCAAACAGGAUUAGAUACCCUGGUAGUCCACGCUGUAAACGAUGAGUGCUAGGUGUAGGGGGUGUCAUGCCUUCUGUGCCGGAGCAAACGCAAUAAGCACUCCGCCUGGGGAGUACGGUCGCAAGACUAAA
rnacentral:rRNA from 1 species